GGGCGUAUAGCUCAGCGGUUAGAGCGCUAUCCUCACACGGUAGAAGUCUCUGGUUCGAGUCCAGAUACGCCCA
rnacentral:tRNA from 2 species